rnacentral:misc_RNA from 1 species
ACCAGUUACCAAAUAUCAAAAAGAUGCAGACCUGAAGUUUUUGCCCAUCCCCUCUUCUCCCCUCUCUCUGUACAUCAAACACACAGUCGUUAAAGUGCCUGUACGCGUAGCUUUCUAUUUCUGAUUGUUAUUUUGAAUUUUUUCGAUCUAUUUUAUUUUACCGGCAUAACAUGACUAUUAAUGAGUAUAUAUUUAAUUUCAUUGAUGACAAGCUCAAAUGAAGAGUGAGAAACUACUUAAUCUACUUCUGGUUAGAAUAUUGUUCAUCCUUCAAGGCGAUAUUGAAUAUUUUGCUUAGUUAUCAAAACAAAUAAAUAAAUGAAGGAUAUGGCUCAUGUUUUGGACUCUUUUACGAAUGAGAAUGCUGAUCGAAAUAUUUCAACAUCUGAUGAAAAGAAAGAUGAUAGAGGAAGAUUAAGUCCUACCCAUAGUGCUCAAGGCUCUAUGAGAACAAGCUUAAAAAAAUUAAAUCGAGAAAAGAAAGCCAAAAAAGUUUCAUUUUUUCGAAAUGGUGAUAAGUUUUUUAAAGGUCUUUUAUAUGUACUUUCUGUUGAAAAAGUGCGCUCAUUCGAUGUUCUUUUAGAAGACCUAACUAGAGUACUUGUUGACAAAGUUAAUUUACCAAAAGGUGUGAGAUACAUAUUUACAAUUGAUGGUAAAGACAAAAUUUUAGCUCUUGAUCAAUUAGUAGAAGGUGACAGCUAUGUUUGUUCUUCAACUGAUCAUUUCAUUAAAUUAGAUUAUUUGAAAAAUGAACGUCCUCAUUGGACUGUUACAAAAAAACUAGACGAUAACCUAAUGUUAAAAUGGGAGACUGAUGGACAAAAUAGAGAGAGUAGAGAUUUUAUUCGUCCUAAAUUAAUAACAAUUAUAAGAAAUGGCUUAAAACCAAGAAAAGCUGUCCGUAUUUUACUUAAUAAAAAAACGGCUCACUCAUUUGAUCAAGUUUUGAAUGAUAUCACUAAUGCUAUCAAGCUGGAUACUGGUGCUGUGAGAAAAAUCUUUAGUCUAACUGGCAGACAGAUAACAAGUCUUAUCGAUUUUUUUUCUGAAGAAGAUAUUUUCAUUGCAUAUGGGCCUGAAAAAUACUCUCAUGAUGAUUUUGAUUUAGAUUCUGAAGAGCAUAAAUAUCUUCUACAUAAUGGCAAGAAUGCUGGAAGCUUUCAAAAGUAUGCUCGUCGAUCUGGAAUGUUUCAUAUACAGUCCCCAACUUCAAGAAGAAGAGUAUCAUCACCCUAUUCAUUAAAUGAAGUUUCUCCUUCAAACAGCAGCAGGGGAUCUUUUUCUACUUCACAAAUCUUUCCAUCAAAGUGUCCGAGUCAAAACAAAUAUGAAAAUCAAAAUGGUCAUAGCUUUUUGUCCCACAUACCUCUUCCUAUUAUGCAAAAGUACGACAUUGGUAGAGUUAUUGGAGAUGGGAAUUUCGCAGUAGUUUAUGCUUGCUUUAAUACAUUAAAUAGUUCUGAAUAUGCGCUGAAGGUCAUAGACAAAAAUAAAUGCAAAGGCAAGGAACAUUUAAUUGAGAGUGAAGUUGCAAUACUGAGACGUGUAAAACAUGAGAAUAUAGUACAAUUAAUUGAAGAAUUUGAUUUUGAGAAUGAUCUUUAUUUGGUGAUGGAACUUGUGAAGGGUGGAGAUUUAUUUGAUGCUAUUGCUUCUGCAACAAAAUAUACUGAAAAGGAUGCAAGUUCAAUGGUUCAUGAUUUAAGUAGUGCUUUAUAUUAUUUACAUUCCUUAAAUAUAGUUCAUCGAGAUAUAAAACCAGAAAAUUUGUUGGUUGUAGAACGUGAAAAUGGUUCUCGAUCAUUGAAGCUUGGUGACUUUGGCCUCGCUGUUGAAGUUAAAGAACCUCUAUAUAUUGUAUGUGGAACCCCUACUUAUGUUGCUCCUGAAAUCCUUGCUGAAAGUGGCUAUGGUUUAAAAGUUGAUAUUUGGGCUGCUGGUGUCAUUACUUACAUCCUUUUGUGUGGAUUCCCUCCUUUUGUCAGUCGAAAUAAUGAUCAAGUAGAAUUGUUUGAUCAAAUACUUGCUGGAAAAUUUGAAUUCACUAAACCAUACUGGGAUGAAAUAUCUGAUUCUGCAAAAGAGUUGAUUUCAAUGAUGCUAAAAGUCGAUCCACAAGAUAGAUACUCAGCUGCUGAAGUAGUAGAGCACCCUUGGGUACAUAUGGAUGUUGCUCAUGACACAGAUAUGCAAAAUGCUGUUUCUAGAGAAAUUACUAUGCAUUUUGAUCAUAAACCUAAAUCUUUAAAAUCUGCUGGUGUUGCACUUAUUGCUAAUAAAGAUGACUCCCUCAGGUUGUUAACUAACAAAUCCAGUUAUCAUUCUGUUGAUUUAAAAUUGUCAUUGCCAUAGCCCAAAAAACUUUCAACUCUGCUCUUAGAUAUGACUCAUAUUAUACAGCAUUCUCUAAGGCUACACUAAUGGAUAAGUUGUCGCUGGAAGAGAACAAUUUUUUACUGUACAGUAUCAGUAUAUGUGUGUGGUGCUCUCUCUAGAAUAUGUAAUGUUUUAAUGGUUUUUCUUACAUUUUCAAAGAAGGAUGUACAGUAAUAUAUGUGUUGAAAUUUGGCACAAUAUUAAAUCAAAUAACAAAAGUUUUGUA